AUGACAAUACCUAACACCAACAGCAUGUUGAGUUUUUCCUGUAUGGUGUCUGCAGCUGUUGUCAUCCUAGGCAGAACCUGCAGUUGCUUGCACUUCACUUUCCCCAGUUUCAACCCAGGCAACAGGGAUGAUUUCAGCUUCAGCCCAGGCUCAGCAAUCUCAAACAAUUCCCUGCAAAUCACGCCGAACGCCGGGAACAUGAGCCACCGGUCGGGAAGAGUGGUCUACGCAAGGGAAACCCUCAAGCUGUGGAAUAGCAAGCGUACAGCGCUCACGUCGUUCAGGACAGAGUUCGUGCUCAACAUCCUCCCGCAGAACGGGACUGCCGGAGAAGGUAUGGCCUUCAUGCUCACAAACAAUCCAUCCUUGCCCAGCGACAGCAGCGGCCAGUGGCUGGGCAUAUGCAACAGCCAGAGAGAUGGCGCCAAGACAAACCGAGUAGUUGCCGUUGAAUUCGACACCAGGCAGAGCUAUGCGGAUGAAUUUGACGGCAACCAUUUUGGCUUCGACUUCAACAGCAUCAAAUCUUUUCGGCAAUACCCGCUCAGUAAUCAGUCCAUCAUCCUCGCAAGUGGAUCUGAUGUAUGGGUCAGUAUGGCAUACAAUGGUACAACACGAUUGUUUGGAGUAGAUCUAGUCCAGCACAGCACAAUAGGAGGGCAGCUUAAAUCCAGCGGAAGUUUGAUUGUUAAUCUAUCACACUAUCUGGCAGACGACAUAUAUCUGGUGUUUGCAGGUUCCACGGGCGAUUUCACCCAACUGAAUCAGAUAAAGUCCUGGAACUUCACCACAAUAGAAAAUGAUGCCACAGUCGGAAUAAGAGUUGGAAUAAAGGUGUUCUUGGCUAUUGCUGCUUUGGUUAUAUUUUCUACCUGUUUGGUUGGUGUGUUCUUCAUGUGGAGAAGGUUGACACGUCAGAGAAGGCUCGCCAACCGCAACCUGGAGAAGAUGAUCGACGCACAUGGUCCGGUCAAAUUUAAGCUCAGGGAGCUGAGGCGUGCGACUGCCAACUUCAGUCCUACACGUAAGCUCGGCAGAGGCGGCUCUGGCACCGUUUACCUCGGCCACAUCAAUAGGAUGAACUUGGAGGUGGCCGUGAAGCGGGUGUCAAUGGGCAACGCCGAUUCCAACCGAGGAGAGCAGGAGUUCGUCGCGGAGGUGAACACGAUCAGCAAGCUGUCCCACCGCAACCUCGUCAAGUUGAUCGGCUGGUGCCACGAGGGAUCCGAGCUGCUCCUGGUGUAA
rnacentral:rRNA from 1 species